rnacentral:SRP_RNA from 16 species
GUGGGUGUGAAAAGAGGAAGUGAGGCUGUGGGUCUGGGUGGGUCUGGUUUGCGCACAUUGUGCAUGCCCAUUCCAGACUCUGAGCUGAGUCAUUGGCCACGCUAGAAGACAAAUUUGCCUGAC